rnacentral:rRNA from 1 species
UUUGUGCUCCUGGUCUUUUUUGUCGAUAGUACAUCCACAAAGCAGCAAUUUCACGAAUUGUCUUGUAGGGGAUGUGUCCUUGGCCACAGUGUGUUCAAUGAUCUUAGGCUCUCACCCGUUGGGUGGAGCGGCUCAUGUAGCUUUUUGAAAGCUUUGAGAUUAGUCCAGUUUGUGCAGGUUUGGUCUUCUAUUGUUUCUCCGCCAGAUGGUUGGAGAUAA